UACGUAGGGUGCGAGCGUUAAUCGGAAUUACUGGGCGUAAAGCGUGCGCAGGCGGUUUUGUAAGACAGGCGUGAAAUCCCCGAGCUCAACUUGGGAAUUGCGCUUGUGACUGCAAGGCUAGAGUGUGUCAGAGGGGGGUAGAAUUCCACGUGUAGCAGUGAAAUGCGUAGAGAUGUGGAGGAAUACCGAUGGCGAAGGCAGCCCCCCUGGGACAUGACUGACGCUCAUGCACGAAAGCGUGGGGGAGCAAACAGG
rnacentral:rRNA from 1 species